UACACUUAGAAAUAGGUGCUAAUACCGCAUAAGCGCACGGUUCCGCAUGGAACAGUGUGAAAAACUCCGGUGGUAUACGAUGGAUCCGCGUCUGAUUAGCCAGUUGGCGGGGUAACGGCCCACCAAAGCGACGAUCAGUAGCCGGCCUGAGAGGGUGAACGGCCACAUUGGGACUGAGACACGGCCCAAACUCCUACGGGAGGCAGCAG
rnacentral:rRNA from 1 species